rnacentral:misc_RNA from 1 species
ACUAUUUAAUUUCAGAAUUAGAGAAUGAUCGGCCCGUGAUUCUUGUAUAUUUUUGAUGUUAUGAAAAUUUACAUAUUAUUAUUUUUUCUCUUUUGUUCCUUUUAUCAACAACUUAAAUUUUUCCAGGAUUGAGAAUGGCGAGUUGUCCUACGGAAAGAGAACCUUUGUUAGGACGGGGAAGAAGUUUACCAGAUCGGCGGUCAUUCCUUCCUCUUGGAUCUUCGCCUGCCGAUCGUCGUUCUCUUUUACCUAUAUCUGAAGCUCCUAAACGCGGGAGAACAAUAUCAGAAUGCCCACGUAGAAUUCCUAUCAAUGAACCGAACCAAGAUGAAGUACAAAGAGAGCGAACCUUUUCUCCCACUGAUAUAGAAGUAGACCUUGAAGGAUGGCAGGGAAGCUGUCUGUGUCAUCCACAAGCUCUGCUCCACAGGGUGAUUGCUUUGAUCCUGAUGUGUCUCCUCGGGUUCGGAAAUUACUUCUGUUUUGAUAAUCCUGGAGCUCUGCAGUCGGAGUUGAAGGAUGCAAUGAACAUUACGACGGCGCAGUUUGCAAACCUGUACGCCUGGUACUCCUGGCCAAACGUUGUUCUUCCAAUCAUUGGCGGAUUUUUAAUGGACAGGGUUUUCGGAAUAAGAUUGGGAACUAUGCUCUUCGCAUUCAUCAUCAUCUUUGGGCAGAUCAUCUUCAGUAUGGGCGGGUUCCUGGACAGGCUCUGGGUCAUGGAGGUCGGGAGGUUCGUGUUUGGGAUUGGAGGAGAAUCCCUUUCCGUGGCACAGAACACCUACGCUGUUUCAUGGUUUAAGGGAAAGGAGCUCAACAUGGUUUUUGGAUUUCAGUUGAGUAUUGCUCGGGUUGGCUCCACAGUGAAUUUUCUUCUCAUGGGUCCUCUCUUCCAAUACAUAAAGAACCAGACCUUAGAGAGGGACGCAGCCAUGAACCACAGUAUGAACCUGUUCUGGGAGGAAAACCUCUUCGAAGAAAGUUAUCUGAAUGGGUCCCAGGAGCUAGAUCUAAUCGCUGAAAGAGAUAGUUAUGGUCCAACGGUUAUAGGAUGGACUCUUCUUACUGCUGGAGGUUUUUGUGUUGCAUCAUUUUUCUGCAGUGUUAUCCUUGCCUGGAUGGAUAAGAGAAGGAACGAAAUCUUGAACAUUGUUGAACCUGGAGACUCCGGAGAAGUCGUUAAAAUCACCGAUGUCAAGGAUUUUCCGUUAUCCUUCUGGUUUUUGUGCCUAGCCUGCCUCUCCUACUACGGGGUUAUAUUCCCCUUCGUGUCCCUGGCCAAGGACUUCUUCAAGGUCGAGUUUGAUAUGGACGGGAACUCUGCUAACUUUAUUACAGGUUUGAUUUAUCUUGUAUCUGCUCCUGCAUCUCCCCUUCUUGGUUUACUCAUGGAUAAAACAGGACGGAAUAUAUCAUGGGUAGUUCUGGCCAUUAUAUCUAGUAUUGGAUGUAUCUGCCUUCUUGCAUUCACCAGUGUGAAUCCGUUCAUAUCUAUCUCAUGUUUGGGAGUAGCAUACAGCCUUCUAGCCUCGGCACUUUGGCCGAUCGCUGCUCUGAUCAUACCUGAAUAUCAGCUGGGGACCGCAUACGGUCUUAUGCAGGCAAUUCAAAACUUGGGGUGUGCUCUGAUUGUGAUGGCCGCUGGAUUGAUCGCAGACGAGUAUGGAUACACGUGGUUAAUGUUGUUCUUCCUCGGCUGGUUGUUCCUGUCUCUGACCUCGACUGUCUGUAUCUGGUUCUGCGACUGUUCUACGACCGGUUAUCUUAACAUGUCGAUAAGUGAGAGACAGAUAUUCGACGAUGCAAGGCAAGCUGCCCUGGACGCUGAGAGAGCUAGACAGAUAGAUGGACAUCGGUUGCUUAGCAGACCAAGAACUGACGCAAAUAUACGCAAUCGAUAUCUAUCCAAGAUCGGAGCUCAUCUCCCGGCUCAUCUUGGUCAAGGUCGUCUCAUAGUUCCAGCUCAUCAGAGAUAACUAGACGACUGUCCAGAGCACAUUUGUCAGAUAAUAGUUGUAUAGUAGUGUAUAGAUUAUAAUUUGAAUCUAGGGAAAUUAAUUGAGAUUAUUUACAAUUAAUAAUUUAUUAGUGACUAACAGGGAUUUGGCUUAAUAGUUGUACUUGAGAAAUAAACAGAAAUUAUGAAGAAAAUAAUUAAAUAACAGUUUAAAUUUUUUAAACUAUACUGUGAUAGUUUUAACUAAAAUUCGCCCAACUACUAAAAUUCACUAUUUUUUUUUCUCAAUACUUCAUAUUAUAUAUCUUCAGAUCUGAAUUUCAUCCACAAGAUAAAGAAAAUCUAAGAAAUCAGUUCAGUGCUUUCCAUUUUUAUUUUUCUAUAAGAUAAAGAGGUAAAAAACCCAUGAAGCAACUUCAUGUGUGCAAACCGGAAACUACUCCGAUUGUAUAUUUUAAAUUGUGUGCCUUAUCUCAACUUUUUAGUAAACAUAUUUAAAUAUUAAAAUAAUGUUAUAUUUGUAAUAACAGUUAUUUUGUAUGCCUGGAAUUAUAUAGUUUUGGAAUCUGGAAUUAAUAUUAACGGAUAUCAAAUUGCAUCAUCGACUUAGCAACGUAAACAAACCAAAACUGCUUAAGACAGUUUUAAGAACAUUCUUUUUUUUCUAGUUCAUUUUUGAUUUAAAAUUUAAAAUUUUUGACUUUAAAUGAAUUUCUUACUUUCACUACACGGGCAUUAGUAGAUUACGAAAUUAUUAUUAAAAAUCUUUAAAGAUAUUUUCUUCAUCAGAAUACCGACGUUAAAUAAUUUUUAUAAAGUUAUUUUCUAAUAAUUUGACAAUACCAAAAAAUCUCUUCAGGUUCUUGCUUUAAACUCGAGAGUCUUUUCGUUGGUUGUAUAACGCUAAGUUUACACAAGAUAAAAAAUAUAUUUCGGGACGGAACAUCGGUCAAAUAAUUUGUAUCCCAAAGAUAUUCACUCUUCACACAAUUACACUAAAAAUACUCUUGAGCUAACAUGACCGUUAACAUUUUGUUUCAGUUUUCACUUCAAAAAAGAUCUUUUGCUUUUUAUGAACAUAAAAAUAUUUCCAUUCUUUGAUACUCACCUCAUGCAGAUAUUUAUAAAUAAAACAAU